AAAGUCCGGGCUCCCAAAAGACCAAGCCUGCUGGAUAACGCCCAGUGCGAGUGAUCGUGAGGAUAGUGCCACAGAAAAAUACCGCCAAAGUAGAUUAAGUAUUAUUGUUUAGUCACUUCAGGUAAGGGUGCAAAGGUGCGGUAAGAGCGCACCAGCAGUGUCGUGAGAUACUGGCUCGGUAAACCCCGGCGGGGAGCAAGGUCGAAGGAACAAUGGUUGGUCUUUUUCCGGUUCCAUUGCAUUAUAGAUUUAUUUGUAAUGUUUGGUGUACCGCAAGAGGUGUCUGGUAACAGGCAUCCCAGAUAGAUAACUGCCCUCAAAGCUUGUUUGAGUUGAGAGAACAGAACCC
rnacentral:RNase_P_RNA from 1 species